rnacentral:rRNA from 1 species
CAUCACUCAGCGGGUAGCGUUCGUAAUUUAUUGCUUACGUUUUCCGUGUACUUUGUUGUCUGCUGGUUAGCAUCAAUUUUGAUUGUCAUAAAAAGGUUAAGGGGAUGUGGCUCCUUCGGGAGUGUUAUAACCCUUAGCGGAAUGUGGCGAUUGGGAUUGAGGAUUGCAACGAAUACCUUUAGGGCAGUUCCGUCUGGUCUCUUGUUGAUUUUCAGAUAGCAAAAGCUUGCUUUUGUUGUUUGAAUAGUUAGCAAAUAGAUUGGAAAGUGAAUUAAUUCGUUAAGGAUGCUGACGUA